AGUAACGCGUGAGGAACCUGCCUUGAGGAGGGGGACAACAGUUGGAAACGACUGCUAAUACCGCAUGACGCAUAGGGGUCGCAUGAUUCUUAUGCCAAAGAUUUAUCGCUUCAAGAUGGCCUCGCGUCUGAUUAGCUAGUUGGCGGGGUAACGGCCCACCAAGGCGACGAUCAGUAGCCGGACUGAGAGGUUGAACGGCCACAUUGGGACUGAGAUACGGCCCAG
rnacentral:rRNA from 1 species